GGGGACGACGUCAAGUCAUCAUGCCCCUUAUGUCCUAGGGCUUCACACAUGCUACAAUGGCCAGUACAGAGGGCUGCGAGACCGUGAGGUGGAGCGAAUCCCUUAAAGCUGGUCUCAGUUCGGAUCGGGGUCUGCAACUCGACCCCGUGAAGUCGGAGUCGCUAGUAAUCGCAGAUCAGCAACGCUGCGGUGAAUACGUUCCCGGGCCUU
rnacentral:rRNA from 1 species